UACGAAGGGUGCAAACGUUGCUCGGAAUUAUUGGGCGUAAAGAGCUCGUAGGCGGUUCAGUAAGUCGGGUGUGAAAACUUUGGGCUUAACCCAAAGCGUGCAUCCGAUACUGCUGUGACUUGAGUUCGGUAGGGGAGUGGGGAAUUCCUAGUGUAGCGGUGAAAUGCGCAGAUAUUAGGAGGAACACCGGUGGCGAAGGCGCCACUCUGGGCCGAAACUGACGCUGAGGAGCGAAAGCAUGGGUAGCAAACAGG
rnacentral:rRNA from 1 species